CUGGGAUUCACCAGGAUUCACUGGGAUGUGCUGGGAUUCACUGGGAUGUACUGGAAUUCACCAGGAUUCACUGGGAUGCACUGGGAUUCACCAGGAUGCACUGGGAUGUGCUGGGAUUCACCUUGGGAUGAUCCCAGUCCUCUCCACAUCCCUGGGAUGAUCCCAGUCCUCCCUGAAUCCCUUUUCUUCCUUCCAGACUGUUGGAUUUGGGAUCGAUGGAUCCAUUUGUGGCUCCAAAAUUGUUUUGGGGGUGGUUUUGGGGUGUUCCUGUGGUGUUUUGAGGUGUUCCUGUGGUGUUUCUGUGGUGUUUUUGGGGAUGUUCCUGUAGCGCUUUUGGGGGUGUUUCUCUGGUGUUUUUGGCUGUUUCUGUGAUGUUUUUUGGGGUGUUUUGGAGGUGUUUCUGUGCUGUUUUUGUGUUGGUUUUAGGCCUCCACCCCCUCCUGUCCCCAGGUGGGUGGCAGGAGGAAGCCGAGAUUUGCAUAGGACACGGGUGGUGGCAUCGGGGACAGGAUGACACCACCUCCAAUGUCCCCCGAGGGGUGGCCCUGACCCCCAAAACCCCGGCCCUGGGGGCUUUGGGACAUUCCCCAAGUCUGGGUGUGGGUGUGACACGGGGACAGGGACAGGAGGUGGGGUCUGGAGCUGCUUGGGGACAUUGUGGGGACAUUGUGGGGUCCCAUGGGGCCAGGAGUCAGGAUCUCUUUAAAAGGGGGGGGGUCUCAGGUGGGAUCCUGAGAGGAGGAAGGGAGGAUGGGGAUGCUCAAGGAGCCCCCAGGAUCCCAUCCCUGGCCAUGGGGAGCCAGGGAUCUGCCAUGGGAUCCUGCCGGGUUUCCUGGGAUCAGGGAGGCUCCAGAGCCCCCUUUAACCAUGGGAACAUUAAAAUUCCCAUUAAAAUUCCCACUAAAAUUCCCAUUAAAAUUCCCUCUAAAAUCCCCAUUAAAAUCAGCCCCUGCGAUCCCACAGGAUUCUGCCCAGUUUCCCGGGAUCAGGAAGGCUCCAGAGCCCCUUUUAACCAUGGGAACAUUAAAAUUCCCAUUAAAAUUCCCACUAAAAUUCCCAUUAAAAUUCCCAUUAAAAUCAGCCCCUGGGAUCCCACAGGAUCCUGCCAGGUUUCCCGGGAUCAGGAAGGCUCCAGAGCUCCCUUUAACCAUGGGAACAUUAAAAUUCCCAUUAAAAUUCCCACUAAAAUUCCCAUUAAAAUCCCCAUUAAAAUCGGCCCCUGGGAUCCCACAGGAUCCUGCCGAGUUUCCUGCGAUCAGGAAGGCUCCAGAGCCCCCUUUAACCAUGGGAACAUUAAAAUCCCCAUUAAAAUUCCCUCUAAAAUUCCCAUUAAAAUCAGCCCCUGGGAUCCCACAGGAUCCUGCCAGGUUUCCCGGGAUCAGGGAGGCUCCAGAGCCCCCUUUAACCAUGGGAACAUUAAAAUCCCCAUUAAAAUUCCCACUAAAAUUCCCACUAAAAUCCCCAUUAAAAUCAGCCCCUGCGAUCCCACAGGAUCCUGCCGGAUUUCCCGGGAUCAGGGAGGCUCCAGAGCCCCCUUUAACCAUGGGAACAUUAAAAUUCCCAUUAAAGUUCCCUUUAAAAUUCCCACUAAAACCCCCAUUAAAUUCCCAGUAAAUUCCCAUUAAUUCCCCAUUAAAUUCCCAAUAAAUCCCUGUAUCAAGAAGCUCUGACCCA
rnacentral:lncRNA from 1 species